AGUAUCCGGGGCAUUCUUUUGAACCGAACAACUCAUCAACUCACACUUGUAUAAGUGCGUGUGGCUCGAGAAGGAAAGGCUGUUUCGUGUUAUCUGCGCCGAGUUUUCUACCCGUCAAAGCCAAGUGCAGCAAACUGGAGUCUCCAACGAGGACUACCCCCAUCUAAUCCCGGAUCUUUGAUAAACGCAGUACAUUGUACUGUAAAAAACUUGCAACGAAAUAGGACUUUUCUUUCCAAGCAGUAGCAACAAGCCGCGGGGCACCCAGUCAGGAUGGAGGAUUCGACGAACGCAAUGGGCAUGAUGGACCAGCAGCAGCAGCAGCACGGUGGGGCGGCAGGCUACGAGAACAACGGGCCGGCGCCGGCCCCGACACCCUGCUACGACGAUCUGUUCCCGGCGCUGCCGGAGAGUGAACCGCCGCGCUUCAACAGCACGCUGUCGCCGGCCACGCAGAACAUGCGCGUCGGCAGCUCGGUCGUGACGCAGGUGUUCAUCGUCGCGUCCGGCGAGCGCAAGUACGACUCGGACAAGUUCGGCGAGGGCGAGUCGCUGCGCACCUGCCAGGCGAUCAUGAAGGAAACGAACGCACACAUCGAGAUCUCGAGCGGCAAGGACCAGUCGCUGACGUUCCUGGUGACCGGCAAGGUGCAGGAGGUGAUGGAGGCGCGCCGCAAGAUUCUGGUCCACUUCCAGACGCAGGCGAGCAAGACGAUCAACAUCCCGCGCGAGCACCACCGCUGGAUUCUGGGCAAGAAGGGCGAGCGACUGCGCGAGCUGGAGCGCACGACCGCGACCAAGAUCAAUGUGCCGCGCAUCAGCGACGAGUCGGACGCGAUCACGAUCACCGGCACCAAGGAGGGCAUCGAGAAGGCGGAGCACGAGAUCCGCACGAUGUCGGACGAGCAGUCGCGCAAGGCGUUCGAGCGGUUCAACGUGCCGAAGAUCUACCACCCGUUCGUGCUCGGUGCGUACGGCGAGAAUCUGCAGAAGAUGAUGGAGGAGACGGGCGCCAAGAUCAACGUGCCGCCGCAGUCGGUCCAGAAGGACGAGAUCAUCAUCACCGGCGAGAAGGAGGGUGUGCUGGCGGCGAAGGCGCGCAUCGAAGCCAUCUACAAGGAGAUGGAGAAGAAGUGCACCUCGGUCGCGGUGGAGGUGGUGCGGGCGCAGCAUAAGUACGUGUACGGGCCGCGCGGCUCCACCAUCCAGGAGAUCCUGCAGACGACGGGCGUGUCGGUGGAGAUGCCGCCGAGCGAUUCGCCGAGCGACACGAUCACGCUGCGCGGCCCGCAGGACAAGCUGGGCAACGCGCUGAACGUGGUAUACCAGAAGGCGCACUCGAUCCGCACCGAUCUGCUAGAGUGCCCGCAGUGGAUCCACAAGUACAUCAUUGGGCGCGAGGGCGGCCACAUCAAGGAGUUCUCCGCCCAGCACCCGAACGUGCACGUCGAGUUCAGCGAGGACAAGAUCAAGAUCGACGGGCCGCCGGAGCAGGUGACGAUCGCGGCCGAGGAGCUGCAGAAGAUGGUGGCCGACCUGACCGGGCGGCUGACGUUCGCGGAGAUGGUGGUCGACCCGGUGCACUGCAAGCACAUCAUCGGCAAGGCCGGCUCGAACAUCAACCGCAUGAAGGAGGAGUACGACGUGCAGAUCAACAUCGACGAGAAGGGCCCCAAGCCGAUCCGCAUCGAGGGGCCGGCAGAGGGCGUGGCCAAGGCACAGCAGGAGCUACUGGAGAAGAUCGCCAAGUGGGAGAACGAGAAGGAGGAGUCGAUCAUCAUCGACCACCGGCUGUUCAAGACGAUCAUUGGCGCGAAGGGCGAAACGAUACGCGAGAUCCGCGACAAGCACAACCAGGUGCAGAUCGUGUUCCCCGGGCCGAACGACAAGUCGGACAUCGUGAAGAUCCGCGGCUCGAAGGAGGACGUCGACCGGUGCCACAAGUAUCUGACGCAGUACGUGAAGGAGCUGCAGAAGAACUCGUUCGUGAUGGAGGUGCCGGUGUUCAAGCAGUUCCUCAAGUACAUCAUCGGCAAGGGCGGCGCGAACAUCAAGAAGAUCCGGGACGAGACGCAGACCAAGAUCGAUCUGCCGUCCGAGAGCGACACGAACGAGCUGAUUGUGAUCACGGGCAAGAAGGAGAACGUGAAGGCGGCCUGCGACCGCAUCCAGAAGAUCCAGAACGAGAUGGCGAACAUCAUCUCAGAGGAGGUGCAGAUCCCGGCGAAGCACCACAUCUCGCUGAUCGGUACCGGCGGCAUGCUGAUCAACUCGAUCAUGGAGGAGUGCGGCGGCGUGUCGAUCAAGUUCCCGAACUCGGACCUGAAGAGCGACAAGGUGGUGAUCCGCGGCCCGAAGGAGGACGUGGAGCGGGCGAAGCAGCAGCUGCUCGAGCUGGCGAGCGAGAAGGAGCUGUCCUCGUACUCGGUGCAGAUCCGGGCCAAGCCGCAGCAUCACAAGUUCCUGAUCGGCAAGAACGGUGCUUCCAUCAAGAAGAUUCGCGACAAGACCGGUGCACGCGUCAUCUUCCCGAAUGUCAACGAUCAGGAUAACGAGGCGAUCACGAUCAUCGGCAAGAAGGAGCACGUGGAGGAGGCGAAGACCGAGCUGGAAGCGAUCAUCAAGAACAUCGACAACAUCGUCGAGGACGAGAUCAGCGUGCAGCCCAAGUUCCACAAGCACUUCAUCUCGAACCGGGGCAAGGUGCUACGGCGCAUCGAGGAGGAGUGCGGCGGCAUGUCCAUCUCGUUCCCGCGCAUGGACCGCGACGACCGGAACGAUCGCGUCAAGCUGAAGGGCCCGAAGGACUGCAUCGAGGCGGCCAAGCAGCGCAUGAACGAAAUCGUGCAGGAGCUCGAGUCGAUGGUGACGAUCGAGGUGUACAUUCCCGCCCGCCACCAUCGCAUCAUGAUGCGCCGGGGCGGCUCCAAGGUGCAGGCCAUCACGUCCGAGUUCGGCGUCAACAUCCGCUUCCCGGAGCGCGUGCUGGACACGGCCGUGCCAGUCGCCGUCAACGAUCCGUCCCAGCAGCAGCAGCAGCAGCAGAACGGCAAUGGAGAAGCAACCGCUGAGGGUGAUGAAAAUGCCUCGGCGGCGGCUGCUGCAACCACUGCCGAUGGUGGUGAGGUAGUGAACGGUGGUGGUGCCGCGGGCGAACAGACAACGCCCGCCGAGCCGGUCCAGCGCGCUUCCGAUCUGGUGCGCAUCAGCGGCAACAAGGAAAAGUGCGAACAGGCGAAGGAGGCUCUCCUUGCGCUCGUGCCGCUGACGGAGGAGAUCAACGUGCCGUGCGAUCUGCACCGCUCGCUGAUCGGCCAGAAGGGCCGUGACGUGAAGGAGCUGAUGAACACGUACGAUGUGCAUAUCGAGAUGUCGCCGCAGGACAAGAAGCUGGACAUCAUCAAGGUGACCGGCACGAAGGCGGCCAUCGACGAGGCGAAGGUGGCGAUCGCGGAGCGCAUCAAGCUGCUCGAGGCCGACCGGAAGGAUCGCGAGCUGCGCUCGUUCGAGGUGAAGCUGGAGGUGGACCCGGUCUACCAUCAGAAGAUCAUCGGCCGCCGCGGCGUGGUGAUCAACAAGAUCCGCGCCAACCACGACGUGCAGAUCACCUUCCCGAAGCAGGACGACCCGCAGAACAGCAUCAUCACGAUCCAGGGGUACGAGGAGAAGGCGCUGGCGGCGCGGGACGAAAUCCUGGCGAUGGUCGACACGCUCAGCUCGGUGUACAAGGAGGAGAUCCACAUCGACGAGCGCGUGCACCGCCGCUUCAUCGGCUUCCGGGGCAAGCGGCUGCGCGAGAUUAAGGAGCAGUUCGGCGUGGACAUUACCUUCCCGCGCAUGGAGGACGCCGACAAGUCGCUGGUCACGCUGGCCGGCACGCCGGACAACGUCGAGUCCUGCCGCGACUAUCUGCUCAACCUGGAGGAGGAGUUCCUGCAGGACGUGUCGGCCGCCCCGACCCAGCCGACCUCGUUCUCGCAGAUCAUGGAGGACACGAUGGCCCAGCAGCAGUCCAACAAGCAGGGCUUCGUCGUCAGCGGCGCACCGUGGGAGCGCAAGGCACCGAACACGCUGUCCCUGGAGGACUUCCCAGACUUUGGGCCGGGCGGUGCACCGGCGGCCGCCGCCGCCACCUCGAACGCGGACGCGAACGCCACGCAGCAGCCGCCGAUCAACUCCGCCUGGAAUGCUAAGCAUUAAAUGUUUUGUUUCUGGUGGAGGAGGAGAAGGAGGAGGUGGUGCCGAAUUGUGGAGCCGGCAGGCGAAGGUGUGAAGUGUUUUAUUUUUGUUACAACGUUUACAACCAACCCCGUCGUUCGCAAUGGAUUGUUUCAGCGUGCGCCCAAACCCACCCCCCGGCCACACACCGAACAGCGCAACACACCCCUUGAAACCAGCUUCCUCUCCCCUUUUUUCCCUGCUGAAUGACAAAAUCAUCUUACAAAAGCAAUCAUUUAUUAAGCAGAAGCGCAGAAGGAAGAAAACAAAACAAAGGGAAAAAUUAUCUUUUAAGUAGUAGUUUAUAGACACAUCAAACAACACCCCUUGAAGAGGAGGGACGAGAGAGCGCAAUUGUGUGUGUGUGUCUGUACGCGCGCCUUCUCUUCCUCCUCCCCGAUCACGUCCCCACUUCCGUGCGAAAUCGUUUGAAAAUCCUAUGGAACUUAUCGUUUAAACUCAGCUUAUUUGUAUGUGUGUGUGUGUGCAAUUGGUGACGAUUAAUGUACGUGUGCUCUAGUUUGUUUGUUUUGUUUAUUUUGUUAUUGCACAAGAGCUCAAUUUUGAUCGUAACGACCGGAAGGAAAAGGAAGAAAACAAAAGAAUGGUCCAUGAAGGUCCAGGCACUAUAUAGAGCCUAGAAGAGUGGAUUGCGUGUUGUUUUUAGUAGAUUUAAAGUCGUCUUUUUUCGACAAAACGCAACGAAACUAAGGGGGGCAUAUUACACAUAUAAUGCAACAGGGAAGAGGAGCACGCGCCCGUGGCACUGUAUCAUACCCAAGUGGCUCCCCUUAAUUAAUAAAGACACAAACACAGCUAUACACAACAUCUCUACACAAUCCACACACAACUCAACUAUAUGACGUUUUGCUCACAUCCGGCACAAUACUCCCGCUAAUGUGCAAAAAAAGGAGAAAAGGAAAACUCCUCCCGGUCGUUCCGGGUGUAAUUUUGUUGCGGUUUUACGUUUCACUGUUGGCCGAAUUGUCAAUUUUCUCCGUCACUACUUUGUCACGGUGUCACGCUUAGAAUAUGUAAACGGAGGGUGAGAGUGUAAAAGGGAGUUGAGAUAGAGAACAGAUAGAGAAUUAGUAGAUUAAAACAUAGUACUGGAACCUUUUACCUACUGCCCCAUUUCUCCUUCGACCACCCUUUAAAAGCAGCUGUGUUAUGUGUUUGUAAUCCUGUUUUUUUGUUUUGUUCAUCUUCUUCUAUAUAUAUUCUCUUUUUAUCUGACCGUGAGGGCGUAUCACGCACGGAUAGUGUUUUAAAUGUUUUGUGCAAUCGUACCAACAAUAAUGUAUGUAGCAGAGACAUGCACACAAAAACAAUUGCAAUUUACCAAUUGGGAGGUAAUGUGAAGAAAAAAAAAACAAACAAACAAACAAGAAAGGACUUGAUGCGAAGGAGCGGCGCGGCAAAAAAUGGGGAGACGAAACAGACAAAAAAGUGUAACAAAAAAGUGUUAGGAAAGAGAGAAAGAGAGAUAUAUAUACAAACCACAAACACAUAUAUUAUAUAUACAUAUUUUGAUAAUCAAAUAUUAUUUUCAAAACCGUAUGAAAUAAAGACAGACAUAUGCUCUCGGGCCCUCACCCCCCCCCUGUAGCAAGCGAGAGGGAGUUGUGCCGGAGGAUAAAGUUUGUUGUGCAAAUUCCUUUCUUUGGCACACGCGCGCAUACGAUACGCAUACGCAAUCAGGAUGUGUGUGCUGCGGCACAGAGCUAAAGACACCAAAAGAAAGGGAAAGCGACUGGAAGAAGAAGAAGAAAAACCCAGUCAUGAAAGGACAAAAACACUCUUAAAGAAACAGCUGCAACAAAAGAAGAGUGGAGAAAAAAGGAAAACACAACAAUAACUGAAUAACCUAUAAGGGGGGGUAACUCCAAAUGCGUAAUCAGAUAACAAACAAGAGAAAGAGAUGCAGUUCUGAUAUGGGAGAGAAUAAAAGCGCGGUCGAUUGACGGAAAAAAGAGAAAUUGCAAUUAAAUGAAAGGGAGCAGGUAGUAGGUAUAGGGCACUACCGCCUCCAAGGAAGAGAAACUAAUUAUACAACACUAUAUAUAUACAUACAUAUUGAAACCUUAUAGAGAUAAAAGCGGUAAGGUAGAAAGAAGAGAGAGAGAACGAGAAAGAGAGGGUGUAAAAGGUCGUGGGAAAUGCAAAUUAUAUAUAAAAGGUGCAGAGUACAUUGAGAACGUGAAAAUAAAUACACACACACACACACACACACACACACACACACACACACACACACACACACACACACACACACACACACACACACACACAGAGAAACACAACAGCGAACCGAGAAGCUGCACAAAUAAAAGAGAGGAGAAAUGUUAAUAUUAACAAACACGCUUACAAAAAGCGUCAAUCUGCGUUGCGUUUGCGUGCUGAUCACUUAAAGUGACAAAUAAACACACAAGAAAACAGCAAGGGAAAACUAAAACGAUCGAUGAUGGAACCGCGAACGAUCAGCAGAUGGAAAGAUGAAAGGAUACUGCGCAGCUUAUUUCUGUGUGUCCUUGCAAACAAUAUGCGCGGUGGAUUAGGGAAAGAUGAUGAUAAAUGGUGCAUUCGAAGGGGGGAGCAAGGGAUAAAGAAAAGAACAUAAUUGCUUCCUUUUACAAUUAAACAAAAAAACACGAGACACACAAAACACACACACACACACACACGCGACAAGACGAAGACGUUGAAGAAAGGGAAACCUGCGAUCGCUCUCACCUCUAAAAUGAUGCAAACAAGAGAAAUAUGAAUAUGGUGAGAUGCAAAAACAAUGGGGAAAUGUUGAGAAUAAUCUGAAGCUACUAAAGCAAGCUAUAGCUACAUGCGAGAGCAAUUGAGUAGGAGAAGAAGAAGGAAAUAAUGGUGGGACGCUCGUGGUGGGCAUGCUUGCUGCGUGAGGUCGUCCCCCUCCCCACAGCGCGGGGAAGAUACUACCUAAUUUGUGGUAUAAAUAAAACUUAUUACAUUUUCUGUAA